rnacentral:rRNA from 1 species
AGCGAACGCUGGCGGCAGGCCUAACACAUGCAAGUCGAGCGCUGUAGCAAUACGGAGCGGCAGACGGGAGAGUAACACGUGGGAACGUACCCUUCAGUACGGAACAACCCAGGGAAACUUGGGCUAAUACCGUAUACGUCCGUAAGGAGAAAGAUUUAUCGCUGAAGGAUCGGCCCGCGUCUGAUUAGCUUGUUGGUGAGGUAACGGCUCACCAAGGCGACGAUCAGUAGCUGGUCUGAGAGGAUGAUCAGCCUCACUGGGACUGAGACACGGCCCAGACUCCUACGGGAGGCAGCAGUGGGGAAUAUUGGACAAUGGGCGCAAGCCUGAUCCAGCUAUGCCGCGUGGGUGAUGAAGGCCCUAGGGUUGUAAAGCCCUUUCGGCGGGGAAGAUAAUGACGGUACCCGCAGAAGAAGCCCCGGCUAACUUCGUGCCAGCCGCCGCGGUAAUAC